rnacentral:rRNA from 1 species
CAGUCGCCGCGGUAAUACGAAGGGGGCUAGCGUUGCUCGGAAUUACUGGGCGUAAAGGGAGCGUAGGCGGACAUUUAAGUCAGGGGUGAAAUCCCAGAGCUCAACUCUGGAACUGCCUUUGAUACUGGGUGUCUUGAGUGUGAUAGAGGUAUGUGGAACUCCGAGUGUAGAGGUGAAAUUCGUAGAUAUUCGGAAGAACACCAGUGGCGAAGGCGACAUACUGGAUCAUUACUGACGCUGAGGUGCGAAAGCGUGGGGAGCAAACAGGAUUAGAUACCCGUGUAGUCCCUGUCUCUUAUAA